rnacentral:rRNA from 1 species
UACGAAGGGGGCUAGCGUUGUUCGGAUUUACUGGGCGUAAAGCGCACGUAGGCGGAUUCUUAAGUCAGGGGGUGAAAUCCCGAGGCUCAACCUCGGAACUGCCUUUGAUACUGGGGAUCUCGAGUUCGGGAGAGGUGAGUGGAACUGCGAGUGUAGAGGUGAAAUUCGUAGAUAUUCGCAAGAACACCAGUGGCGAAGGCGGCUCACUGGCCCGAUACUGACGCUGAGGCACGAAAGCGUGGGGAGCAAACAGGG